UCAAGUAUUUUUUUUGCCAUCUGGACCA
rnacentral:sRNA from 1 species